rnacentral:misc_RNA from 1 species
GGGWGAAGUCGUAACAAGGUAACCGUAGGGGAACCUGCGGUUGGAUCACCUCCUUUCUAAGGAAAAACGCUGUUGUCUUAGUAUCUGUUUCGCACACAACAUCACAGGCUGUGGGAGGAGUCUUCGGACUCUGAACCUAGGGGCUAGUAGCUCAGUUGGUUAGAGCACACGCUUGAUAAGCGUGGGGUCGGAGGUUCAAGUCCUCCCUGGCCCACCAUUACAAAGUUUAGGUGUGGUUACUGAAAGCUUUCGAGUUUCUGGUAGCGACAUGUAAGUGUGUUAAGGGGUUUUGAGAUCUGAGCAGGCAGAUUCGAUGGCAGCAACGUAAUGUACAUUAAGUACAUGAGGCGCCGACAGGAUGAAUCUAACGAACUUAGAACGCAAAAGAACUAACACAAUUUGGGGGUGUAGCUCANCUGGGAGAGCGCCUGCCUUGCACGCAGGAGGUCAUCGGUUCGAUCCCGUUCACCUCCACCAAUAUAUGUGUGAUCUGUGAAGAGUGUGAGUAUAGAUAAGAUAUUUGAACGUAGGAUGAUCGGAAGAUUGGACUGCGUUAGAUGGAUGACAGAGUAAAGACCA